UCCUACGGGAGGCAGCAGUGAGGAAUAUUGGUCAAUGGGCUUACGCCUGAACCAGCCAAGUCGCGUGAGGGAAGACUGCCCUAUGGGUUGUAAACCUCUUUUGUCAGGGAGCAACGCCGGCUACGUGUAGCCGGACUGAGAGUACCUGAAGAAAAAGCAUCGGCUAACUCCGUGCCAGCAGCCGCGGUAAUACGGAGGAUGCGAGCGUUAUCCGGAUUUAUUGGGUUUAAAGGGUGCGUAGGCGGAAUGCCAAGUCAGCGGUAAAAUCGCGGGGCUCAACCUCGCACCGCCGUUGAAACUGGCGU
rnacentral:rRNA from 1 species